rnacentral:tRNA from 1 species
GAGCCCGUAGUUUAGCGGUAUAACGCCUCGUUGACGUCGAGGAGGUCGCCAGUUCGAAUCUGGCCGGGCUCA